rnacentral:rRNA from 1 species
CCGUGAGGGAAAGAUGAAAAGGACUUUGGAAAGAGAGUUAAAAAGUACGUGAAACCGUUAAAAGGGAAACGAAUGGAGCUAGCAAUGCGCCCUGUGAGAUUCAGCCGGCCGGUGGUCCAGGCGCGUGGCUUGCAGAUCUGAAUUGACUGCGGCCGCGUGGUUUGGGCUCCCGACCGUCGCACUUCUUGCGGGCGCGCGUCAACAUGGGUUGGGAGUGGGUCUGAAAGGCACCGGGAAGGUAGGUCCGACCCCUCGGGGCUGGUCUGUUAUAGUCCGGUGUUCUCAUGGCUCGCGCCCGACCGAGGAGUUGCAGCACAUGCCUCUUGUGGCUGGGGUCCCGUCGUUCCGGUUGGUUGUCGACGGCGGUGGACUGCGUGCAGUGCACCGCGACUGCUGCCGGUCGCUACGGUGGUGACUUCGCACCAUGUGCUCAGGAUGUUGGCGGUCAUAUGGCUUCAUCCGACCCGUCUUGAAACACGGACCAAGGAGUCUAACAUGUGCGCGAGUCUUAGGGUGAUUGAAACCCGGGGGCGCAAUGAAAGUGAAGGCAGCCUCGGCUGCUGAGGUGAGAACCUUCCCCGCGGGGAGGGCGCAUCAUCGACCGACCUAUUCUACUCUUAGGAAGGUUUGAGUAAGAGCGCAUUUGUUGGGACCCGAAAGAUGGUGAACUAUGCCUGAAUAGGGUGAAGCCAGAGG